UGGAGCAGAAAAGCAGAUAUUAUAUUGAGAAAGCAAGACUUUAAUGAAGACAAUAGCCCAGUGAGUGGCACUUUACAUUCCAUUGUUUUUGUAUUUUAAUAUUUUACAUGAACCCUUCUGUUUUUUCCACAUAAUCGAGCUGAAUCCCAUGGAUCCUGUUCUUUCCCUUUUCUGAAAGAACAACCACUGAGAGCAUGUUAAUCCUUAAACUCCUAGGAGCCGUCACAUGGAUCUAUCAUCGCAGCAUGGCCUGGCCAGCAUGUGCCACUAUGGGGGAGGUGAGAGAGUGCAGCUCCCGGGAGGCACUGGGGUCUAAAUGCCAUGACAUGUGACUCCAAAUAUAGGCGGGGGUUAGGGGAAGGCGUGGGUGGCACCGCAGCAGGUCGGCUUUCAAAAAAACAAUCUGCAGCUGCCCCAGCAACCCCCCAAACAGACUUCAACAAGAGAUGAAGUUACAUGAAAGAGAGAGAGAUGGGUGCUCAUCAGUGAUUUGAUAUAAAUUAUUCUGGGUAGAUAGGUGUCAUGAGCCUGAAUGGUGAAGUAGGUAGGAUUAAACAGAGAAAAAUACUCAACUAAAGAAUUAUAUUCUUUCCUAAUCAUUAAUUGAAUAUUUUCCCCAGAAUGUUUAGAUUUUCAAGUUCUUUAAAAAUGCAUUAAAAAUUUUGUUGUUUGUG